GGGGUGCAGCAGGCGCGAAACCUCUGCAAUAGGCGAAAGCUUGACAGGGUUACUCUGAGUGAUUUCCGUUAAGGAAAUCUUUUGGCACCUCUAAAAAUGGUGCAGAAUAAGGGGUGGGCAAGUCUGGUGUCAGCCGCCGCGGUAAUACCAGCACCCCGAGUGGUCGGGACGUUUAUUGGGCCUAAAGCAUCCGUAGCCGGUUCUACAAGUCUUCCGUUAAAUCCAACUGCUUAACAGGUGGGCUGCGGAAGAUACUAUAGAGCUAGGAGGCGGGAGAGGCAAGCGGUACUCGAUGGGUAGGGGUAAAAUCCGUUGAUCCAUUGAAGACCACCAGUGGCGAAGGCGGCUUGCCAGAACGCGCUCGACGGUGAGGGAUGAAAGCUGGGGGAGCAAACCGGAUUAGAUACCCGGGUAGUCCCAGCUGUAAACGAUGCAGACUCGGUGAUGAAUUGGCUUUAUGCCUAUUCAGUGCCGCAGGGAAGCCGUUAAGUUUGCCGCCUGGGGAGUACGGUCGCAAGACUGAAACUUAAAGGAAUUGGCGGGG
rnacentral:rRNA from 1 species